rnacentral:rRNA from 1 species
CUGGUUGAUCCUGCCAGUAGUCAUAUGCUUGUCUCAAAGAUUAAGCCAUGCAUGUCUAAGUAUAAGUUCUGUACUGCGAAACUGUGAAUGGCUCAUUAUAACAGUUAUUAUUCCCUGGCCGGUCAGUGAUUCCUUGGAUACCCAUGGUAAUUCUAGAGCUAAUACAUGCUUAAAAACCCGACUUCUUGAAGGGUUGCGCUUAUUAGAUACCGAACCAACCCAGGCUCUGUCUGGUUUUCGUUGAUUCAUAGUGUUCUGGCGAAUCGACUCGCAAGAGUCGAUGAGGCUAUCAAGUUUCUGACCUAUCAGCUUCCGACGGUAGGAUAUUGGCCUACCGUGGCUUUGACGGGUAACGGAGAAUUAGGGUUCGAUUCCGGAGAGGGAGCCUGAGAAACGGCUACCACAUCUAAGGAAGGCAGCAGGCGCGUAAAUUACCCAAUCCUGACACAGGGAGGUAGUGACAAGAAAUAUCAAUAUAAGACGUUUCUGUCUUGUAAUUGGGAUGAGCGAAACAUAAACCGCUUCUCGAGUAUCAAUUGGAGGGCAAGUCUGGU